UCUCUGGAAGACUAGUGGUUAGGCCUCUGCGCUUUCACCACUGUGGCCCGGGUUCGAUUCCUGCCCUGGGAA